rnacentral:lncRNA from 1 species
GUACUGUCUAUGGUUUUUUAUAGUAAAUGCUUGGUCUAAAAAGAAUUGUUUUGCGAAUGACAAGCACUUGCUGUGGAACUUACUAUUUUUAGUUUUAAACACAGCUUCACAUGAGGGAUCCCGCAGAAUAAUUGUAUGCUGGUGAUUGCUGAGAGAGUUUGCAUUGGAUAAGUGCUUUCCUUUGGCCAAAAACUGGCUCCAGGCAAACCUGCCUGAAGUUCGUUUGUCCUGAAGAGCGAUUACACCCAGCAUAUGAGAUGAGUAACUUUGGGCUGGGCAAUUCCAAGGUGAGAAGAUUGAAGACUGACGCCAAAGAAGUCUGACAGUGCUAAAACAUUGAAGUACUGAAAGGGAUAACAUCUUAACUGAGGCUUCUGCAAGGAAUUGCCCUUGUGCUGCUUCUAAAUCUUUCUGUUCAAGAUAAAUAAAAACAUGAUGCUAGAAAACGUCUUGACCCUGUAUCACUGGUUUUUCUUUCAGUGAGCAAGUGAACUAGCGUAGUGCCCUGAACCACAACAAAGCUGCAGUGGGGCCAGCCACCACCACCCUCAGCAGGCUGUGAAGUUAAUAUGCCUCCUACUAAAGACCUAAGAGACUUACGAGCUUAUGUCUGAAGGAGCUGCCACUUGGUGCACACACACUAGAAUCCUCUGCCAUGCCUUCCUGAUGGGGACAAUUUUCCUUAUCCACUGCAUCACGAUAAAGGAGGAGCUACUCCAACUGUAGAUUUGUGUAGAUACCACACCUAAAAGAUGAUGAUGUAGGCGCACUCUUAGGAAUGAGAGCCCCUCAAAUUUCAUUCAGAGAACAUAGAGCCAGAUCCAAAAUGCUUUAAAGAGGAGAAGGAACUCUUUCAUUGGUUUCAGCAGACCUUGGAUCAGGCUUGUAACAGACAAAACUCUGAAUGUGAACAAAUCAGCAAAGCGUAAAUCCCAACUUCAGUUUGACAUCUGAGUCCUAUGUUUUUUUUAGGGCAUCUUAUGCUGUGUACCUUGGAACAUUCCCAGUGGCUUCACCAGUGGUCAAAAACUGCUUUUCCUGCGUUGAGAGAGCAUCAGCAUCUCCAAUAUGCAAGACAUAUUCCUUAUUAAAUAAGAUACAAGACCCAG